rnacentral:rRNA from 1 species
UGGGAAUAUUGCACAAUGGGCGAAAGCCUGAUGCAGCGACGCCGCGUGAGGGAUGACGGCCUUCGGGUUGUAAACCUCUUUCAGCAGGGACGAAGCGCAAGUGACGGUACCUGCAGAAGAAGCACCGGCUAACUACGUGCCAGCAGCCGCGGUAAUACGUAGGGUGCAAGCGUUGUCCGGAAUUACUGGGCGUAAAGAGUGCGUAGGCGGUUUGUCGCGUCGUUUGUGAAAACCAGCAGCUCAACUGCUGGCUUGCAGGCGAUACGGGCAGACUUGAGUACUGCAGGGGAGACUGGAAUUCCUGGUGUAGCGGUGAAAUGCGCAGAUAUCAGGAGGAACACCGGUGGCGAAGGCGGGUCUCUGGGCAGUAAAUGACGCUGAGGAACGAAAGCGUGGGUAGCGAACAGG